CACACACACACACACACACACACACACACACACACACACACACUCUCUCUCUCUCUCCCUCACACACACUUACACGGCACGCACAUGUUUUGGGAGAGUGCAGGGUGCGAAGGGAUUCCCCCCUCCCCUAAAACCGACCAUCCCGACACAGAUACAAACCCGAACUGGCAGCUGAAGGAGGGUUGUUUGCUGCUGCUCACCCUUCUUUAAACCCCGGUCAUUACGGCGACUCGAGACACAUUUUCUCAUUUUACGCACGCGCUCUCUCUGGAAACGUACACGUGUCUCACUUUCCAAGUUUGUGAAUAGAAAUUAAUCCACGUCCCUCAAACAUUGCUCACUUCAUUCACCCCCCCCCCCGCCCCCACCCCAUUUCAAUGUGCGAGAGAGAAACAAAAAACAGUAAUGAAAAUAAAAUAAAAUAUUAACCACGCUAAAUUCCUGCAGCAGCAGCAGCAACAACUCGUCAAAGCUCUCCCAGUCACACAGCAAAGCCCCCAAACUCUGCUCUCUCAAGCGGACAUUGUGAUGGAACAAAGUUCGCGCAGCAAAGUGUUCGGAUCGCUGAAAACAAAAGCGAGAAGUGAAAAUUUACGCAGCCGGCGGAGAGAGUAAAAAGAAAAGAUGAAGAUCCGGCUGAGUUUAAGUUGGAGGAAAAAGAAGAAAGAAAAAGGGGAAGGACGAAGUUUAGAUCGAGUUGCUUCACUUGCUGUCCCAGCCAGCAGCACAUAAAGAGCGAGAGUAUAGAGGGGAGAGGGGAGGGGGGGGGGGGACUCACAAAUGACGUGCGCUUUGUACGAGAAUCCCCCUACUUUCUGGUGCAAGAGAUGAAUAUAUACACGGUAUUAAUCUUUACAGCCAUAUAAAUCACUACAACGGGAUUUAAAGAGCAAGAAAGUCUCUGAAGUUACACACAAGAAACUUAGAAAUUCGUCAAUUAAAAUGUCUGCUUCCGCGUGAAGUUUGAACCUGUUAGCGGCUCGCGUUUUAAUCGAGAGAGAGAAAAAAAAAACAGAAACAGGACAGAGAGGAAAAUGGGUGGAAAAGGGGAAUGAACGAUUUGAUUGUGACAGUCAUUCCCGCCCUCUGAGGAAUCCCCGGACCUGUAAGGAAAUCGUUGUGCACUCGGUGGAUUUUCGGGAGAACACCUCCGCUCCUCUUCGCCUGUUAUCUUUUUUUUUUAUGUGUAAUGAAGUCUUAAGGCUUCAGAUGGUUAAAGUACGAAGCAUGCUCUCUCAAUAAUAUAUAUAUAUAAAAAACUCAACAAACAAAAACAAAAAAAACAAUAAGAAUGUACAGACGGGAAAGCGACGGCGAAUAGAUUAAAACAAAAGCUGACCUUUGACCUAAAGUGCAGGCCUCAUUUUACUUUGCAUGUGUCUGUCGCCUAAGUCGACAAAAAAAAGCCACCGUAUUUGUAAUAAAACGUAAAAAUGUCCGGGUGGAAAAGUGAUUUGUGGUAAAACAACAACAACAACAACAAUAAAGGGGGGUGAGGCGUGAUUAUGACUUUAUGUUUUUUUGCGUACAGAUGUCUUUGUGCUCGGCGCUCAGAGGCAGCGUCGUCCAGGUUGUGUCUCGGCUGAAGGUCACGGAGUUUCCUUCCUCUCCCCGUGUGUCCUGACUCCGCGAGGCCUCCGGUGAAACAUUCACCACCACCAACACGACUGUCCCGUCUUUGUUUGUCUUACAGAACAAGAAGAAGAACAACAACAACAACAAAAAGAAGAAGAAGAAGAAGAAGAAAGAAAGAAAAUUCACGACUUGUCACGGAAGCGAGGCGACUCGACUGGAAUUUUACUGCUGAGCUCCGGACGGAGAGAAAAAGGCGACCAGGCGGUUUGGAGGUUUGCACCGAGGACCGACUGGCAGAGAGAGACCCCACAUCACUCCCAAUAAGGUAAAACUUUCAAACCAGGUCGAAAACGGCACCACGCGUCUAUAGCGGAUCUUAGCGGCCUGAGAGGAGACGGGAAACCCUGGCCGAAUGAAACCUGGACGACGACGUCUCCUGCCUUCAGCUCCACGUUCCCACGUCUGUUCCUUCUGCUCGCUCUCGUUCUUCAAAAGCUGCUUUGUUCGUCUUCUCUACAACUCGUACGUCUCCGUCCACUCGUGAUCGUCCCCACAGUCUUCCAGUAGAAUCAAGAAUACAACUGCACAACCCCAAAGGAGUCCCGAGUCUGUGACCCGGCUCAGAUCACGGUGCAACACAGGGAAUGAGGGGCGAUGACUUCUAGCGGACGGAAACGAGACGCUUYGCCGCCGGCGAAGCGGAAGGCGAGCCGGAAGAGAAGGGUCAAAGGUCGUUUGGUGUGAGGAAGCCUCGGUACGGAGAGUAGAGUAUCAAGUGACAGGAAGAGGAAGCUAAAUGUAGGAGACGGAGACGAGGAGAGACGGCUGCUGGGUGGAGGUGGAGGAAGAGCCGGCGCCUUGCCGCUCCGCCCGAAACCAGGAAGUCAAAUCUGAGCGGAGUCCGUCCGUCCGUCUGUCCGUCUGUCUCCAUCCGCGUCUGGUCACACAAAGCAAGAAGGACGAGCAACAAGGCCUCCGUCUACCUCGUGCUAAGCUGCCACACACUCAGGCUGGACUGGACACACACACACAGACAGACAGAACAGCUGUGUGGAUCAUAACUGUGAUGUGAAGGUGGACUCCCCUCAAGUCUAACAGGACUGUGUGUGUGUGUGUGUGUGUGUGUGUGUAAAUAUUAAAGUGUAAAAUUAAAGAUGAUGAUGGGAUGUAUUUAAAAUCAACUUGAUGCCAUUUUAGUUUUGCUUGUGCAACAAUAAUCACACUGUAUAUUUGUGCAUCAUGUUAAAUUGAUUGUGAUGUGAACAUUUUUUCAUCUUUCUUUAUACUUGUAAGUUUUAAUUWAAAAAAAAAACAUGUACAAUUGUGUUCCAUGAAUUAUGUAUUUUAAAGAUGACAUUUGUACAAAUGUGUAUUUUUAUGUUGUUUUUUGUUGCAAUGACAUAGAGACAUUUUGUUCCUACUGCGUUUGACUGAACGUGUUAUGAAACUGUUACACAACUUGCAUCUCCGUCCUCUCGGAUCCCAGAGCUUUCUGUCCAAUUUUGUGAACAGCAGCGCGAUUCAGUUUCGGAUUCGGACCCAUUUUCAUACUCUCGCCCCUGUGCAGAGUACACGGCAGGCUUUGCCUUCAGCCCGGGAGCCUCGGUCUGCCUGCAUUUCAUGUUCGGUUUGCAGCGUGUGGAUGGACGGAUAGAUGGGGGAGAAAGAGGGGUGAUGGGGGGGGGGAGAGCAUGGCGGCUUGCAGGCAGAGAGAGAGAGAGAGAGAGAGAGAGAGAGAGUUGGAGACAGAGGAGUUAUUCCUGCAUUCUUCUCCUGAAAAAUAAAAACGACAACAAAAAAAAUGGUGGCUGUUGUUAGUGAAACAUGCAUUCUCUGUAAACAAGCGUGUGUGGACAUUUUAAAAACACUGUGAAAUAAAAGCGAUGGAAAUUUA